rnacentral:rRNA from 1 species
GUGAUGGGCGCAGCCUGAUCAGCCAUGCCGCGUGAGUGAUGAAGGCCCUAGGGUUGUAAAGCUCUUUCAGCGAGGAGGAUAAUGACGUUACUCGCAGAAGAAGCCCCGGCUAACUUCGUGCCAGCAGCCGCGGUAAUACGAAGGGGGCUAGCGUUGUUCGGAAUCACUGGGCGUAAAGCGCACGUAGGCGGACUGAUCAGUCAGGGGUGAAAUCCCGGGGCUCAACCCCGGAACUGCCUUUGAUACUGUCAGUCUUGAGUCCGAGAGAGGUGAGUGGAACUCCGAGUGUAGAGGUGAAAUUCGUAGAUAUUCGGAAGAACACCAGUGGCGAAGGCGGCUCACUGGCUCGGUACUGACGCUGAGGUGCGAAAGCGUGGGGAGCAAACAGGAUUAGAUACCCCGGUAGUCA